UGGGGAAUCUUGCGCAAUGGGCGAAAGCCUGACGCAGCCAUGCCGCGUGGAUGAUGAAGGUCUUAGGAUUGUAAAAUCCUUUCAGCGGGGACGAUAAUGACGGUACCCGCAGAAGAAGCCCCGGCUAACUUCGUGCCAGCAGCCGCGGUAAUACGAAGGGGGCUAGCGUUGCUCGGAAUUACUGGGCGUAAAGGGAGCGUAGGCGGAUGUUUAAGUUGGGGGUGAAAGCCCAGGGCUCAACCCUGGAACUGCCUUCAAUACUGGACAUCUAGAGUAUGGGAGAGGUGUGUGGAACUCCGAGUGUAGAGGUGAAAUUCGUAGAUAUUCGGAAGAACACCAGUGGCGAAGGCGACACACUGGCCCAUUACUGACGCUGAGGCUCGAAAGCGUGGGGAGCAAACAGG
rnacentral:rRNA from 1 species